AGCUUGCUUUUCUUAGCUUAGUGGCGAACGGGUGAGUAACGCGUGAGUAACCUGCCUUUCAGAGGGGGACAACAGUUGGAAACGACUGCUAAUACCGCAUAAUGUGUUCGGAAGGCAUCUUCUGGAUACCAAAGGAGAAAUCCGCUGAUGGAUGGGCUCACGUCUGAUUAGCUAGUUGGUGAGGUAACGGCUCACCAAGGCUGCGAUCAGUAGCCGGACUGAGAGGUUGAACGGCCACAUUGGGACUGAGAUACGGCCCAGACUCC
rnacentral:rRNA from 1 species